UUUGCUCAUAUCACCUUUGUUAUAGAUGAUUAUGGCAUCUGGUUGUCUAUUUUUUCUCUAGCCUUUUGUUUCUGUUAUGAAACUAAUAUUGAUUUGGUUUGUUCCUUCUUUUUAAUGCCAACUUACACAAUUAUUUCAAUAGAGCUUUUUCUCCCUAGUUAUUUCAAAAAUGGAAUCAAAUGAGAAUGGCAUAAUGUAGAAUGGAAGGGAAUGCAAAUUCCGUUCCACUUUUUGGUCAUGCCAGCAAUGAUCAUUGCAACUGAAUAGUUGAUCUGUCUUUCAAGUAUCUAUUCUAUCCUUAUUUGAAAAAUGGGCAGGUUUCCCCCUGCCAUUGAAGUCUCUUGGUGAGAGUUAAACAAACUGAAUCAAUGUUUAUGAUCUUUUGCUGAAAUAGUCUGUAGUUUCUCUCCCCCCCUACAUGAUACACAACAGCAGAGAAAGCCAACUUAAGCACAGUUGCCUUUGCCGAUUUUCUGCCAAGAUAUGAUAUCAACUAAUCUCAUGGGAGCCCCAGCGCAUUUCACAACACAUGCUUCCAAACUUGGGAAGAGGACUGAAAGUCAAAAAGAUAUGGCUACAAGAAUUAUUCCCACCUGAGCAUGACUCACAAUCCCCAUCAACAACAAUUCCCCAAGAACAUGGUCUCUCCUUUGCAGAUAUAUUGCCUUGAAAGGCCAGCCACUGGAUAAGAGACCACCCACUAACAUGACAAGGGACCAAAUUAAUUAUACCAAGAAACAGGAGGCUUCACAACCGUAGUAGCAUACCAAGCAGACUUAACAAUAUACUCCCCAUUGCCGUUGAGCGUCCAAACAACCCUUUCUGCCACUGCAGCAUUAUAAGAACAGAAUGGUGUGAACUGUGAGCAAUGAUUUAUUGGGUAAGAGAAUUCCUGCUUUUGAGCCAUUUCCAGAAGCCGUUGCAGACAAUGGAAGCAACCUUAGCAGUCAAUGAUCUACCUAUGUUGUAAAUGAACCCUUCCACCAAACUUGUUAUUACAAAGUGCCAAGCUCAAGCCACUUAUACAUACCAAAGAAAAGGUGGAAUAUUCAUCGCCAAUCACACCUCGUACAAUAAAUAGGCCAAUACUUGUGAACUUAAAAAAAUCUUCCUCAUAUCCAAGAAGCAUCACAUGGGAGGGGCAUAUGCUAGAGGUAUACUUAAUCACAUGUUUGUAUUGAAUUUUGGCUUACUACUUGUCAGAGAGAGCUUCCUAUGCAUGUCUAUCUCAGAAGGUUAUUGUAUGGGCGCCCGUGUUCUCCGCGACAAACCUUUAUUCGAAACUAGAACAUAGUGUUUGUCAAAGUCGCCACUUGAUUUUAAUGUUUAACCAAGCAACCAAAUUAACGUAUAAUAUUCAAGACUACCGGUCUGUCACUACCAGAUAUUAUUCUUGGUUCGGGAGAAGUGAUGGGGUGGGAAGGUGUUAGGCACCUACCCUGCCUAACCGAAAUGGUUUGUCUCUACUCAUUAAUGGGAUUUUAGUAGAAUUUUUGAAGUUAUCAAAUAUGAGAUUGGGAAACAAGUAAAUAUAAAGGAAAUAAGAUUAACGAUGCAUGAGGAUAGAUUUAAUAAAAGAAAAUUAUUAUUGAAAAUAGUAAAGUAGGCGAAUGAUUGAUACUUCUUUGAUCAACGCGUGGACGUUCUCCUCAAAACACGAACUCUGGCGAAUAAGCACAAUUUUGUGGGGAAAAGAACUUUUCUUUGAUUUAACGAACAAGGUUUUGAGAAUUGGAUUCAAUGAGGUGGUUUAGGAAAGAACGAGGGUUUUUGGUUAGGUUUUUCUUGUAGGUUUUUGUGUUGUGUUGAAUCUAGGGAUUUAGGACCCUCUUAUAGGGUUCGGUAAACCUCCUAGUGUUGAACUCUCUACCAGAACCGAAUGGGUGGCAAUUUAACCCUCCAUAGCAACCCAUACCUUAUCAACUGGAGCUGUCUGUUUUCAGCGUUCAAAUGUUGCGGCUGCGAAAUUGGGGUUAGCGUCUGCAAAGUGUAAUGUGGUGUCGUAACAUUUAUAGAGUCAGACAUUGCAUCCAUUACCUGACAGUUACCUCCAAUGUCAGACCUCCCAUAAUGUUACGUCCGUGAGGUGAAGGUUUUGGGUCAAAGACUGCGCUUCAAAUUGGGCUUGUGUUUGGACUUUUGGUUUAGGGUCAAAGACUGCGCUUCAAACUGGGCUUGUGUUUGGGCUUUCUGAAUGGGUUUGCUGGGUCUGAAAGGUUUUGAAUGGGUUUGUAAGGUUGGGCUAAUUAUUUGAAUUCGAUAAAAUUAAACAA